AAGUAGUUUGACAUAUUCCAGGAAUUCAAGGAAGGAUCAUAAGAUUCAAAAGUUUGUUUAACAGAAACAAGGAUUGACGCUUGCCUCUUAAGGUAGAGAUUAUGUGAAGAAAGUGAAUGAGAAGAAGUGAAAAUCAAAACAAAUAGACAAGAGAAGAAAGCAAACUUCACACCAGCAGCCAUGAUAUGAAUUAAACCGAGAAAUGGGUUCUAAACAAUCCAAUACUUUUAAUAAAGAUUCAAGAAAAUCAGUGACCAUUUCAUGGCUUAUACUAAGGAGACAGAGAGAGGCCUAAUGAAUCUUAAAAAGGCAAAG
rnacentral:misc_RNA from 1 species